rnacentral:rRNA from 1 species
GAUCCUGGCUCAGGAUGAACGCUGGCGGCGUGCCUAACACAUGCAAGUCGAACGGGGUUAAGGGAAGUUUCGGAUGGAACUUAACUUGGUGGCGGACGGGUGAGUAACGCGUGGAUAACCUGCCUCGCACUGGGGGAUAGCAGCUGGAAACGGCUGGUAAUACCGCAUAAGACCACAAUGCCGCAUGGCACUGGGGUAAAAGAUUUAUCGGUGCGAGAUGGAUCCGCGUCUGAUUAGCCAGUUGGCGGGGUAACGGCCCACCAAAGCGACGAUCAGUAGCCGGCCUGAGAGGGUGAACGGCCACAUUGGGACUGAGACACGGCCCAAACUCCUACGGGAGGCAGCAGUGGGGAAUAUUGCACAAUGGGCGCAAGCCUGAUGCAGCCAACGCCGCGUGAGUGAAGAAGUAUUUCGGUAUGUAAAGCUCUAUCGGCAGGGAAGAAAGGCCCGAAAGGGAGAUGACGGUACCUGACUAAGAAGCCCCGGCUAACUACGUGCCAGCCGCUGC